AAUACGGAGGGUGCGAGCGUUGUCCGGAAUUACUGGGCGUAAAGCGCGGGCAGGCGGCCUGUUAUGUCGAGUGUGAAAUCCCACGGCUCAACCGUGGAACUGCGCUCGAAACUGGCAGGCUUGAGUGCGGGAGGGGAUGGUGGAAUUCCCGGUGUAGAGGUGAAAUGCGUAGAUAUCGGGAGGAACACCGGUGGCGAAGGCGGCCACCUGGACCGAGACUGACGCUGAGGGACGAAAGCGUGGGGAGCAAACAGGAUUAGAGACCCCGGUAGUCCUAGCCGUAAACGAUGCGAACUGGGCGUGGGUGGAUUGAAACCCAUCCGUGCCGAAGCUAACGCGAUAAGUUCGCCGCCUGGGGACUACGGCCGCAAGGUU
rnacentral:rRNA from 1 species